rnacentral:rRNA from 1 species
AUGAACGCUGGCGGCGUGCCUAAUACAUGCAAGUCGAGCGAACGGACGAGAAGCUUGCUUCUCUGAUGUUAGCGGCGGACGGGUGAGUAACACGUGGAUAACCUACCUAUAAGACUGGGAUAACUUCGGGAAACCGGAGCUAAUACCGGCUGAUAUUUUGAACCGCAUGGUUCAAAAGUGAAAGACGGUCUUGCUGUCACUUAUAGAUGGAUCCGCGCUGCAUUAGCUAGUUGGUAAGGUAACGGCUUACCAAGGAAACGAUGCAUAGCCGACCUGAGAGGGUGAUCGGCCACACUGGAACUGAGACACGGUCCAGACUCCUACGGGAGGCAGCAGUAGGGAAUCUUCCGCAAUGGGCGAAAGCCUGACGGAGCAACGCCGCGUGAGUGAUGAAGGUCUUCGGAUCGUAAAACUCUGUUAUUAGGGAAGAACAUAUGUGUAAGUAACUGUGCACAUCUUGACGGUACCUAAUCAGAAAGCCACGGCUAACUACGUG